UUAAGCGACUAAGCGUACACGGUGGAUGCCCUGGCAGUCAGAGGCGAUGAAGGACGUGCUAAUCUGCGAUAAGCGUCGGUAAGGUGAUAUGAACCGUUAUAACCGGCGAUUUCCGAAUGGGGAAACCCAGUGUGAUUCGUCACACUAUCAUUAACUGAAUCCAUAGGUUAAUGAGGCGAACCGGGGGAACUGAAACAUCUAAGUACCCCGAGGAAAAGAAAUCAACCGAGAUUCCCCCAGUAGCGGCGAGCGAACGGGGAGCAGCCCAGAGCCUGAAUCAGUGUGUGUGUUAGUGGAAGCGUCUGGAAAGGCGCGCGAUACAGGGUGACAGCCCCGUACACAAAAAUGCACAUAUUGUGAGCUCGAUGAGUAGGGCGGGACACGUGGUAUCCUGUCUGAAUAUGGGGGGACCAUCCUCCAAGGCUAAAUACUCCUGACUGACCGAUAGUGAACCAGUACCGUGAGGGAAAGGCGAAAAGAACCCCGGCGAGGGGAGUGAAAAAGAACCUGAAACCGUGUACGUACAAGCAGUGGGAGCCUCUUUAUGGGGUGACUGCGUACCUUUUGUAUAAUGGGUCAGCGACUUAUAUUCUGUAGCAAGGUUAACCGAAUAGGGGAGCCGAAGGGAAACCGAGUCUUAACUGGGCGUUAAGUUGCAGGGUAUAGACCCGAAACCCGGUGAUCUAGCCAUGGGCAGGUUGAAGGUUGGGUAACACUAACUGGAGGACCGAACCGACUAAUGUUGAAAAAUUAGCGGAUGACUUGUGGCUGGGGGUGAAAGGCCAAUCAAACCGGGAGAUAGCUGGUUCUCCCCGAAAGCUAUUUAGGUAGCGCCUCGUGAAUUCAUCUCCGGGGGUAGAGCACUGUUUCGGCAAGGGGGUCAUCCCGACUUACCAACCCGAUGCAAACUGCGAAUACCGGAGAAUGUUAUCACGGGAGACACACGGCGGGUGCUAACGUCCGUCGUGAAGAGGGAAACAACCCAGACCGCCAGCUAAGGUCCCAAAGUCAUGGUUAAGUGGGAAACGAUGUGGGAAGGCCCAGACAGCCAGGAUGUUGGCUUAGAAGCAGCCAUCAUUUAAAGAAAGCGUAAUAGCUCACUGGUCGAGUCGGCCUGCGCGGAAGAUGUAACGGGGCUAAACCAUGCACCGAAGCUGCGGCAGCGACACUAUGUGUUGUUGGGUAGGGGAGCGUUCUGUAAGCCUGCGAAGGUGUGCUGUGAGGCAUGCUGGAGGUAUCAGAAGUGCGAAUGCUGACAUAAGUAACGAUAAAGCGGGUGAAAAGCCCGCUCGCCGGAAGACCAAGGGUUCCUGUCCAACGUUAAUCGGGGCAGGGUGAGUCGACCCCUAAGGCGAGGCCGAAAGGCGUAGUCGAUGGGAAACAGGUUAAUAUUCCUGUACUUGGUGUUACUGCGAAGGGGGGACGGAGAAGGCUAUGUUGGCCGGGCGACGGUUGUCCCGGUUUAAGCGUGUAGGCUGGUUUUCCAGGCAAAUCCGGAAAAUCAAGGCUGAGGCGUGAUGACGAGGCACUACGGUGCUGAAGCAACAAAUGCCCUGCUUCCAGGAAAAGCCUCUAAGCACCAGGUAACAUCAAAUCGUACCCCAAACCGACACAGGUGGUCAGGUAGAGAAUACCAAGGCGCUUGAGAGAACUCGGGUGAAGGAACUAGGCAAAAUGGUGCCGUAACUUCGGGAGAAGGCACGCUGAUAUGUAGGUGAAGUCCCUCGCGGAUGGAGCUGAAAUCAGUCGAAGAUACCAGCUGGCUGCAACUGUUUAUUAAAAACACAGCACUGUGCAAACACGAAAGUGGACGUAUACGGUGUGACGCCUGCCCGGUGCCGGAAGGUUAAUUGAUGGGGUCAGCGCAAGCGAAGCUCUUGAUCGAAGCCCCGGUAAACGGCGGCCGUAACUAUAACGGUCCUAAGGUAGCGAAAUUCCUUGUCGGGUAAGUUCCGACCUGCACGAAUGGCGUAAUGAUGGCCAGGCUGUCUCCACCCGAGACUCAGUGAAAUUGAACUCGCUGUGAAGAUGCAGUGUACCCGCGGCAAGACGGAAAGACCCCGUGAACCUUUACUAUAGCUUGACACUGAACAUUGAGCCUUGAUGUGUAGGAUAGGUGGGAGGCUUUGAAGUGUGGACGCCAGUCUGCAUGGAGCCGGCCUUGAAAUACCACCCUUUAAUGUUUGAUGUUCUAACGUGGACCCGUAAUCCGGGUUGCGGACAGUGUCUGGUGGGUAGUUUGACUGGGGCGGUCUCCUCCUAAAGAGUAACGGAGGAGCACGAAGGUUGGCUAAUCCUGGUCGGACAUCAGGAGGUUAGUGCAAUGGCAUAAGCCAGCUUGACUGCGAGCGUGACGGCGCGAGCAGGUGCGAAAGCAGGUCAUAGUGAUCCGGUGGUUCUGAAUGGAAGGGCCAUCGCUCAACGGAUAAAAGGUACUCCGGGGAUAACAGGCUGAUACCGCCCAAGAGUUCAUAUCGACGGCGGUGUUUGGCACCUCGAUGUCGGCUCAUCACAUCCUGGGGCUGAAGUAGGUCCCAAGGGUAUGGCUGUUCGCCAUUUAAAGUGGUACGCGAGCUGGGUUUAGAACGUCGUGAGACAGUUCGGUCCCUAUCUGCCGUGGGCGCUGGAGAACUGAGGGGGGCUGCUCCUAGUACGAGAGGACCGGAGUGGACGCAUCACUGGUGUUCGGGUUGUCAUGCCAAUGGCACUGCCCGGUAGCUAAAUGCGGAAGAGAUAAGUGCUGAAAGCAUCUAAGCACGAAACUUGCCCCGAGAUGAGUUCUCCCUGACUCCUUGAGAGUCCUGAAGGAACGUUGAAGACGACGACGUUGAUAGGCCGGGUGUGUAAGCGCAGCGAUGCGUUGAGCUAACCGGUACUAAUGAACCGUGAGGCUUAACCUU
rnacentral:rRNA from 1 species